rnacentral:misc_RNA from 1 species
UCCGGUUUAACACCGGCAGUCCCCUCAGAGUGCCCAACUUAAUGGUGGCAACUAAGGGCAAGGGUUGCGCUCGUUGCGGGACUUAACCCAACAUUUCACAACACGAGCUGACGACAGCCAUGCAGCACCUAUCUCCACGUCCCCGAAGGGAAAGCCACAUCUCUGUGGUUGUCGUGGGAUGUUAAGCCCAGGUAAGGUUCUGCGCGUUGCUUCGAAUUAAACCACAUACUCCACCGCUUGUGCGGGCCCCCGUCAAUUCCUUUGAGUUUUAGUCUUGCGACCGUACUCCCCAGGCGGAUUACUUAAUGCGUGAGCUACGGUACCCAGGAGGUUAACAUCCCGGACACCUAGUAAUCAUCGUUUACGGCGUGGACUAC